rnacentral:tRNA from 1 species
CCCUCCCUAGCCCAACCGGCAGAGGCAGCCGGCUCAAACCCGGCCCAGUGCAGGUUCGAACCCUGCGAGAGGGACCA